rnacentral:rRNA from 1 species
CCCUUAGAUGUCCUGGGCCGCACGCGCGCUACACUGACAUGUUCAACAAGCCUCCUAGUUCGACAGGAUUUGGGAAAUCUUUGAACGCAUGUCGUGAUAGGGAUAGAUCAUUGCAAUUAUUGAUCUUGAACGAGGAAUUCCUAGUAAACGCGAGUCAUCAGCUCGCACUGAUUACGUCCCUGCCCUUUGUACACACCGCCCGUCGCACCUACCGAUUGAAUGUUUCGGUGAAGAUUCCGGAUAGGACUUUUUUGAUUUAUUUCAAUUUUGUCUUAAAAGCUAUCUAAACCUCAACAUUUAGAGGAAGGUGAAGUCGUAACA